rnacentral:rRNA from 1 species
GUGCCAGCAGCCGCGGUAAAACGUAGGUGGCGAGCGUUAUCCGGAUUCAUUGGGCGUAAAGAGCUUGUAGGUGGCUUGGUGAGUUGGGCGUGAAACCCCCGGGCUUAACUCGGGGCGGUCGUCCAAGACUGCCGGGCUGGAGGGCGUCAGAGGGGAGUGGAAUUCCUGGUGUAGCAGUGAAAUGCGUAGAGAUCAGGAGGAACACCCGUGGCGAAAGCGGCUCCCUGGGACGCGCCUGACACUGAGAAGCGAAAGCUAGGGGAGCAAACGGGAUUAGAUACCCUUGUAGUCC